GAUGAACGCUGGCGGCGUGCUUAACACAUGCAAGUCGAACGGAAAGGCCGUAGCUUGCUUCGGUGCUCGAGUGGCGAACGGGUGAGUAACACGUGGGUAACCUGCCCUGUACUUUGGGAUAAGUUUGGGAAACUGGGUCUAAUACCGGAUAUGACGAUCUCUUGGAUGGGGGUGUGGAGAGCUUUUGCGCUAUGGGGUGAGGUCGCGGCGCAUCAGAUUGUUGGGGGGGGAGUGGCCUACCCAGGCGUCGACGGGGAGCCGGCGUGAGAGGGGGUACGGGCACACUUGGGCUGAGAGACAGGCCAGAGUCCUACGGGGGGGAGCAGUGGGGAAAAUAGCACAAUGGGCGCAAGCGUGAGGCAGAGACGCCGCGUGGGGGAGGAGGGCCUUCGUGUUGUAAACACCUCUCGCGAUCGACGAAGCCCUUUGGUGACGGUAGGUGGAGAAGAAGCACCGGCUAACUACGUG
rnacentral:rRNA from 1 species